rnacentral:rRNA from 1 species
GGGAAAGGGGGGAGGAAGGGGGGGGGGGGCCCCCCGGUUUCGCGGGGUUUUCGCACUUUCUUGGUUCUUUCCCCUUGGUUUUAGUUUCCAUUUUACCCUUCCCUUCCGGGUUUUUGGAGGGGCGGAGGGGGGGGGAAGGGGGGGUUAGGGGGGGGGGGAUUUUUUUUUUUUUUUUUUUUUUGUUUUUCUUCCCUUUUUCCCGGUCCGUUCCUAUUCUUUCGUAUCGCUUCGUUUGUUUGUAACCGGACCUCACGAUGCCUUGCCUUUUUUCUUUCCUGCCGGCCGGCCCGCUCAAAUCCUUGGUCAAUUUGAGCUUUCAAUACAGGCCAAAAAAAGGGGCAAGGGUGAAAACGGGAACCCCCUCUUUGGGGGAGGAUAAUUGGAACAGAUUUAAACCGUAUAACAACCACCCGCUUUGUGUUAUUAAAAGUUGUUUCCCUCCCAAGAGGAGUCCCCCGCGUCCUUUUGUUGUUGGAAAGUAAUGCCUCACCAGGGGAUUAUCAACGCGGAUUGAGAACUUUCCGCCCACAAGGGGAUGAACCCCGCCCCUUUCUCCUGGGGGGGCCACAGUGGGAUUUCUCCCCCAAGGGGGCAAACCUGAUGAACAACGCCGCGUUUUUGAGAAGGUUUCGGCUCGUAAAACCCUUGUUGUAAGAGAGAAUGACAUUGAGAGUACUGUUCAAUGUGUGACGGUAUCUUACCAGAAAAGGAACGGCUAAAUACGUGCCAGCAGCCGCGGUAAUACGUAUGUUCCAAGCGUUAUCCGGAUUUAUUGGGCGUAAAGCGAGCGCAGACGGUUAUUUAAGUCUGAAGUGAAAGCCCUCAGCCUCAACUGAGGAAUUGUUUGGAAACUGGAUGACUUGAGUGCAGUAGAGGAAAGUGGAACUCCAUGUGUAGCGGUGAAAUGCGUAGAUAUAUGGAAGAACACCAGUGGCGAAGGCGGCUUUCUGGACUGUAACUGACGUUGAGGCUCGAAAGUGUGGGUAGCAAACAGGAUUAGAUACCCUGGUAGUCCACACCGUAAACGAUGAGUGCUAGGUGUUUGAGGGUUUCCGCCCUUAAGUGCCGCAGCUAACGCAUUAAGCACUCCGCCUGGGGAGUACGACCGCAAGGUUGAAACUCAAAGGAAUUGACGGGGACCCGCACAAGCGGUGGAGCAUGUGGUUUAAUUCGAAGCAACGCGAAGAACCUUACCAGGUCUUGACAUCCCUUGACAACUCCAGAGAUGGAGCGUUCCCUUCGGGGACAAGGUGACAGGUGGUGCAUGGUUGUCGUCAGCUCGUGUCGUGAGAUGUUGGGUUAAGUCCCGCAACGAGCGCAACCCUUAUUACUAGUUGCCAGCAUUCAGUUGGGCACUCUAGUGAGACUGCCGGUGACAAACCGGAGGAAGGUGGGGAUGACGUCAAAUCAUCAUGCCCCUUAUGACCUGGGCUACACACGUGCUACAAUGGCGUAUACAACGAGUUGCCAACCCGCGAGGGUGAGCUAAUCUCUUAAAGUACGUCUCAGUUCGGAUUGUAGGCUGCAACUCGCCUACAUGAAGUCGGAAUCGCUAGUAAUCGCGGAUCAGCACGCCGCGGUGAAUACGUUCCCGGGUCUUGUACACACCGCCCGUCACACCAUGAGAGUUUGUAACACCCAAAGCCGGUGGGGUAACCUUCGGGAGCCAGCCGUCUAAGGUGGACAGAUGAUUAGGGGAAGUCGAAACAAGGUGGCAUGG